rnacentral:tRNA from 1 species
CGGGGUGUAGCUCAGUUGGUAGAGUGCAGCGUUUGGGACGCUGAAGUCACCGGUUCAAGUCCGGUCACCCCGACCG